rnacentral:rRNA from 1 species
UACAGAGGGGGCAAGCGUUGUUCGGAAUUACUGGGCGUAAAGCGUGCGCAGGCCGCUAUGUAAGACAGAUGUGAAAUCCCCGGGCUUAACCUGGGAACUGCAUUUGUGACUGCAUGGCUAGAGUACGGCAGAGGGGGAUGGAAUUCCGCGUGUAGCAGUGAAAUGCGUAGAUAUGCGGAGGAACACCGAUGGCGAAGGCAAUCCCCUGGGCCUGUACUGACGCUCAUGCACGAAAGCGUGGGGAGCAAACAGG